CUAAUCUCCCGUCAAGCCACGGCAGAUAAUACAAUUUGUAUAGAAUAUAUUUUACACCGUUUUUACCGACAAGGCCGCAGGAUAAAAUUUACCGUCAUGUUUUUACCUUUUACACAAGUCGAUUUAUCUCAAUGACAAUGUUUAUGUAGAUUAUUUUAAUUACAUGUCUUUGCAUAGAUUUCUAUGCACGUGAAUACAGCGCAUGUUUCAAGUGUGGGAGAGCCAUGCUUGGGCACGAAUGGGCCGGAUCGACUGGAGUGAUACCACGGCCGAGCAGAAAACUGACGUGAAACAACGCUUGCGUUGUGGUUCGUUGUGUAACAACGGAGGUUACUGGAGGCUCAAUUACCUCCCUUCGCAAUCCCCGAAUCCCCAAUAACCCUUAUAUUCCUAAGCCAUAAAAGGCCGCCAACGCACUUGUAAUGCCUCUGGUGUUUCAAGUGUCCAUGGGCGGCGGCGAUUGCUUACCAUCAGGUGAUCCGUGUGUUUGUUUACCGGCUUAUAACACAAAGAUAAAAAUGUUGAAAUACUACCUUUAUAUUAAGCAGAGAGACCUUUAUAUUUUUUAAGAGGACAAAAGCGAGCAUACGUGUCACCUGAUGGUAGGUUAGCAAUUGGCGCCGCCCAUGUAUAUCUGCAACACCAGAUGUGUUACAAGUGCGUCGCAGAUAUUUUGGGAUUAUUGGGCCGCACUAACAAGGUAAAAUACAAUGCAAGCUUUGUUUCACGUUAGUUUUGGUGAGGCCGUGGUAUCACUCCGGUCGAGCCGAACUUACUGUUAUUAAAAAAUCCUAAUACCUCAUUGUCUGACUCGGGUUCCGAAUCCUUUACCUUGCAUUCAACAACAUAGCAGAUUGCACACAACCACAAUUACAAACAUAUUUAAAAAGAAAAAAGAAUUACGAAACUAAAGAGAUUGCAUUGUUUUUUCGAAUCCAGUAUAUAAUGAGCUCCCAUACCAUAAGUGUUCUAAACAAUGACAGUUCAAGAUACACUGGUUACUUAGAAGGAAAAUUAAUGCACAAAGAAAUACCUUGUAUAAUGUCACACCAGGUUUUCCCCGCAAAUGUAAAUAGAGAUGAAUAAUACUCUUUAUCAAUCGUUUAAAGAAAUACAAAAUUAAUAUUUAGACUGUUAGAGAAUGCCUUAAGGCAUUAAGUCCGCCAUUCACUGUUUUUUGUGAUGAAGAAUAAAUAAAUAAAUAAAUAUUUUUUAUUUGAUAUACCUGCUACAACCUCCCGUACCUCUGCUACUCCUGUUCUCCUGCUUUCUAUACUAAAUGCAUAUGAAUAUAUGUACAUACGAUACAUGCAUCCAAAUUACAUUAUUUACACUUUUUAUUUGUCUGUCUGUUUGUUCCGGCUAAACUCUGAAAUGGCUGGACUUUAUUGUUAGAUAGCUGAUGUUGUUGUUUUUUUUUAUUACUUUAUAUAGUUUAUCUAAGUGAAUUACUAUUGUUGCUUUAUUUUAAUUAAUUAAUAAGUGGUUUAUUUUUCUUUUGAUCUCAUUGGAUUAGAUUUAAACAUUUUUAUAAUUUUAUUUAAUAGCUCUAGUUAAAUUAGCAGGAUGUGAUUCCCUGUAAUUGAAGGAUCACAAGACCAUGUAAAUUAUUGUAAAUAGGGAAGAUGCAAUAUUUUGAUUUAUGUUUUCAUUGUAAAGCAUUCCAUGUAGAAUAGACCACAAGUAUAUUAAAAAUUAAAAAAAACCCUAAUUUAUUGCAAAAAAUGCGUUUUGAAACUGACAGUUUAAAUUUUCGCGCGGAAACGGACCUAUAGUUCCGAUGACGUCAUACCUGUUUGUCGAUGUCUGUCACUGUUCACUGUUUGUUACCGUCGCUGGCUUUUUUCAAAAUUUCCUCUAUUUUCAAGAUAUAUUUUGAUAAAACUAAAAAUGGACAUCCCAUCAACAUCUGGUUAUUACAACAACAGCACCAAAAAAGCUGUAUUGACUCAUGUUUCGUGCCAUUGUGUCCAUCAACUUCAACCUUCCUAAUAAAUUGUUUUUAACUAGGCCUUCUGAUCCCAAACUGAGAAAAAAGUGGUUCCAAGCUAAAAAUGUAUAGACAUUUUACCACCUGGAGCUUGUAUCAUGGCAGACAGAGGCUUCAAGCACAUUUGCACAAGCAAUUUCAGUUGAUAAGACCACCUAGUGUUAGCAACACUAAGAAAAGUUCAAGAGAUGAUGUACUAAGGUCAAAGAAAAUUGCAAGCCUGCGAAUUCAUAUUGAAAGAGUGAUCAGAAGACUGCGUGAGUUUGCUUUUUGAAGCCACAUGCCUGUGUUUAUCAUUUCCUAAUUCCCCAUUUAGACUAUAGUAUAAUCAUUUGUUGUGCGCUUGUCAAUUUGCAAUCACCUUUAAUUAAAAUUGAAUAAAAAAAGUAUUUAAAAAACAAAGUUUUAUAUAUCUACAAAAUGGUUACAGAAAAAACAUGUAAUUAAUAUCUUUUAAUUUUGGAAACACAGCAUCUAUCCAGAAUUUCUUUGCAGCAUUCAUAACUUCAUUUAUAAAAGCAUUGUAUCGCUUUUAUAAAUGAUUUUCUAGAAGUACAUAUAGAUAAUUUUGUCUUUUUCCAAUAACAUGUUAUGGACGUUAUCGGAGGCUCCUCAGAUCUUCUGUGUAACCAUAGCAAUAGUGCAGCAGCAUGCUUACACCCACCUGGAAAUAGAUUUUAGUCUAAAUUAUCCAUGCUACAGAUUAACUAUUUAAAAUAACCUGAAAUGUUUACCUUCAGAAGCCGCACAAUCUUCGCAUUGGCAUGACUGAACCAAGCUUUGCGUUUCAUUUAUAAUGGCUGUAACACGAUAACCUUCUUUACGUAUUUCAUGCUCCGGCGUAACUCGACUUUUUACUAUACAUAAUUCUCCAUCUCUUUUGAUUUGAACAUAGCCGAUUGGGUUAUCGCCAUAUUAUUUCUACACUCGAAAACUCCGCACUUUCCAUAAAAAAGUUACAACCAUGUCUACGCUAACUUUUGGUAGAUUCCUAGAAUCUGCUUUGAUAAACCCAGCUUCCAUUUUUAGCCGAUAAAUGCAAAAUAAUUUUCGCUUAAAAUGUUCACAACUCAAAGUUGUCAAUAGUUGACAUAGCAAGAGUGACGUCACUAAACACUGAUUGGUGUUUUGAAAUACGUUUCUUUACAUGUAACUUUUUAUUCAUAAUUUAUGAUAAAAAUCAACAUUAAAUAAAAUGAAAACCUUGCUGUGGCCCUUCUUUUAUUCUUUUUUAGCAUUUUAAUAACAAAAUUUUCAUAAGUAUUAUUUUUGCAUCUUCCCUAUUGUAUUUUAACAUGUAAGUGUAUCCAUUGUUGGGAGUCCAAUAAAAUAAAAUAAAAAUAAAAUGUACUAAGGAGUACAUUAGGCUACUUUUAUUUAUAGAAAAUAAUCAAAAACGCAUAUUCUGUCGGAUGUCUGCGUAGAAUAUCUACGCGAACGAAAUUGCAGCGAAGAGUUAGUACGAAAUAAAAAUAAAUACCUAAAUAAUUAUUUUAAUUUGUUUUUGAUAGUUUUUUUACACGUUGCCCCACAGUAGCAUUGUCUCCUGUGUCGUGUGUCCGUUUACAAUAUACAAAUUCACAUACACACCCGAAACAACAAUUUAUGCAUCACACAAAAAGUUGUUUCGUGAGGGAAUCGAACUCGCUACACGUUGCGCGGUAGUCGGUUGCCCAGUCACCGCGUCAACCAUGUAGUAAGUUCUGGGCAUGACACACCCAGGCCCUAUCACCUAUGUAGAAAAAACAAGCGUGACAAUAUGCUAACUACUACUCGGAACGGUAGGCCAAGUAGAUAAUUACAUUUUUUAUGAAAUAAUUACGGCGUAUAUGCGUGUUUAAGUGUAAUUGUGUCGAGGUUUAUAUGUUACUGAUUAUAGUGUUUUUUACUAUACAUAUAUAAUAUGAAAAUUUUAGUAUUAUAUGUAUACUAUAUAACUAGAAUUUACUUGUGACUUCCUAUGUGUAUAAAAAAACCGAAUUUGCCCAUUUUUUGCUGAUGAAAAAUCGUCUUUAACGAUCCAAAUAAAUAAUAAAACAGAAAACUGACGUGGAACUACGCUUUCGUUGCGUGAGUGAAGUUACCGGAGGUCCAAUUCCCCCCUUCCCAAUACUCCCCAUCACUGAUUCCUCGAAAAUCCUUAAAUUCUUAACCCCCAAAAGGCCGUCAACGCACUUGUAACGCUUCUGGUGUUUCAAGUGUCCAUGGGCGGUGGCGAUUGCCUCAGGUCAUCCGUCUGCUCGUUUACCGGCUUAUACAAAAUUUAACGUUUCAAAAGUAAAAUUCAAAAAUAUAUUUUUUUAUCAAACUCCAAGGCUUUUUCAAAAAUAGGCGACUAAUCUACAUAUUAAUGAUAUACAGUUUUUUCAAAAAACAACUUCAUAAUAAAUUAUAAUUUUAAUUUCAAAUAAGUUUUUUUUAGUAGUACUAGCACUGAGUCUGGAAUUGUACCCAGUAUAUGGCAAUAGGCUCGCCCCUUAUUACACUUUUAAAACACAAAUGGUGAAAAGUGGGUGUAGGGGAAAGUGGGGUAAACGCGAACGCGGGGUAAACCCGAACCCAAUAGUUUUAAUAUGUUAGAAAGAUAUAGCCGUAUAUCACUCGCCGGUAACUCAAAGAUCACGCCACCACCAGUGCCAGUCAACGACACGGGAGACGCGGACGCACGUACUUUUCAAGAUGCCCCGUAAUUAUAAAAGAAAAACUGAAACUAAAUACAGUUUAGAGGAUCUCAAAAAGGCUAUAGUCGAUGUUCAAACCAAGAAACUCAGCAUUGGCAGAGCAGCAAAUACUUGUGUUCCAAAAACUACAAUUUAACUUAGUAAUGUUAGUACGUGAUUACCCCACUUGGUGUUCGGCUUUACCCGACAUCAGUUGGGUAAAACCGAACACUAAGGGUUUUGUUUUUCGGUCAUUUUGUUAUAUUUUAUUUAAAAAAAUAAUGAUGUUGAUUAGUAAUACGUUAGCUAGAUAAGUAAAGUUUAUAAUUCAAUAAUUAAAGAAACUCUGUGAUUUGA